UACGUAGGGUGCAAGCGUUGUCCGGAAUUAUUGGGCGUAAAGAGCUCGUAGGCGGUUUUGUUGCGUCGGCUGUGAAAUCCCGAGGCUCAACCUCGGGUCUGCAGUCGAUACGAGCAAACUAGAGUGUUGCAGGGGAGACUGGAAUUCCUGGUGUAGCGGUGAAAUGCGCAGAUAUCGGGAGGAACACCAGUAGCGAAGGCGGCACUCUGGGCCGGUACUGACGCUGAGGAGCGAAAGCGUGGGGAGCAAACAGG
rnacentral:rRNA from 1 species